CCUACGGGUGGCAGCAGUGGGGAAUAUUGCGCAAUGGGCGAAAGCCUGACGCAGCGACGCCGCGUGAGGGAUGAAGGUCUUCGGAUCGUAAACCUCUGUCAGCAGGGAAGAACGGUCACUGUGCUAAUCAGCAGUGAAUUGACGGUACCUGCAAAGGAAGCACCGGCUAACUCCGUGCCAGCAGCCGCGGUAAUACGGAGGGUGCGAGCGUUAAUCUGAAUUACUGGGCGUAAAGCGCUCGUAGGAGGUAUGUCAAGUCAAGGGUGAAAUCCCCGGGCUCAACGUGGGAACUGCCUUUGAAACUGUCAAACUGGAGUGUGUGAGAGGAUAGGGGAAUGCCAGGUGUAGGAGUGAAAUGCGUAGAGAUCUGGAGGAACAUCAGUGGCGAAGGCGACUAUCUGGCACAUUACUGACGCUGAGGAGCGAAAGCGUGGGUAGCAAACAGGAUUAGAUACCCGAGUAGUC
rnacentral:rRNA from 1 species